AUAUCACGUUGAAACACUGGUUCUCAGACAAUCACAGAAGUUAAGUAACAUUGAGCUUGGUCAGUACUCAGAUCGGUGACUGCUUGGUAAUACCAGGUGCUGUAAGC